rnacentral:sRNA from 19 species
AAGGCGUGCAGUAUAGCGUGAUCCAAAAGAUCAUGAAGCUGCAAGACGCGCACGUCUUGGUAGGAUUGCUGCUGCAGGCAACUGUAGCACCUGACUGAAAAUCAGGCUAAACGCAAAGUCGCGUCUUCUGUUGGAUUGGAAAGUAGCUUAAUCCCUGAAUCCUGCGGGAUAAUCAGGGCGUCCGAUGCUCCGCAAGAGCUGAGGACGUUGGUUGAAAUCGCAUGGUGGGUUCGCAGCCCUUUACUGCCCGCAAGGCAGACAGUAAGAGGACAGCCGAGCGAUCCAAUGGUGAACUGGCAAUGCCACCAGUAUAAAACGGCAGCUAUCGGACUUACCAGAUUGUGGCUUCGGCCUGGUUUGGUGGAAACGUUGGGAAGCCUUCCCGCAUGGAGGGUAUAAUCCAAUCAAAGAGUCCGAACCAAAACUGUAUUCUCAGGUU